rnacentral:hammerhead_ribozyme from 15 species
AAUUGGUCGAGAGCUGAUGCCGCUCUCUUGAUGAGGCCCUAGUAGGCCAAAAUCAGUU